rnacentral:misc_RNA from 1 species
GAUGAAGAACGCAGCGAAAUGCGAUAAGUAAUGUGAAUUGCAGAAUUCAGUGAAUCAUCGAAUCUUUGAACGCACAUUGCGCCCGCCAGUAUUCUGGCGGGCAUGCCUGUCUGAGCGUCAUUUCAACCCUCAUGCCCCUAGGGCGUGGUGUUGGGGAUCGGCCAAAGCCCGCGAGGGACGGCCGGCCCCUAAAUCUAGUGGCGGACCCGUCGUGACCUCCUCUGCGAAGUAGUGAUAUUCCGCAUCGGAGAGCGAUGAGCCCCUGCCGUUAAACCCCCAACUUUCCAAGGUUGACCUCAGAUCAGGUAGGAAUACCCGCUGAACUUAAGCAUAUCAAUAAGCGGAGGA